rnacentral:rRNA from 1 species
GAGACUGCCAGUGAUAAACUGGAGGAAGGUGGGGAUGACGUCAAGUCAUCAUGGCCCUUACGACCAGGGCUACACACGUGCUACAAUGGCGCAUACAAAGAGAAGCGACCUCGCGAGAGCAAGCGGACCUCAUAAAGUGCGUCGUAGUCCGGAUUGGAGUCUGCAACUCGACUCCAUGAAGUCGGAAUCGCUAGUAAUCGUGGAUCAGAAUGCCACGGUGAAUACGUUCCCGGGCCUUGUACACACCGCCCGUCA